rnacentral:rRNA from 1 species
UCCUGGCUUAGGACGAACGCUGGCGGCGUGCUUAACACAUGCAAGUCGAGCGAUGAAGUUCCUUCGGGAAAUGGAUUAGCGGCGGACGGGUGAGUAACACGUGGGUAACCUGCCUCAUAGAGGGGAAUAGCCUUUCGAAAGGAAGAUUAAUACCGCAUAAGAUUGUAAUGUCGCAUGACAUAGCAAUUAAAGGAGUAAUCCGCUAUGAGAUGGACCCGCGUCGCAUUAGCUAGUUGGUGAGGUAACGGCUCACCAAGGCGACGAUGCGUAGCCGACCUGAGAGGGUGAUCGGCCACAUUGGGACUGAGACACGGCCCAGACUCCUACGGGAGGCAGCAGUGGGGAAUAUUGCACAAUGGGGGAAACCCUGAUGCCAGCAACGCCGCGUGAGUGAUGAAGGUCUUCGGAUUGUAAAGCUCUGUCUUUAGGGACGAUAAUGACGGUACCUAAGGAGGAAGCCACGGCUAACUACGUGCCAGCAGCUGC